ACCUGGGAAUGGCAUCUAAGACUGGUCAGCUAGAGUCUUGUAGAGGGGGGUAGAAUUCCAUGUGUAGCGGUGAAAUGCGUAGAGAUGUGGAGGAAUACCGGUGGCGAAGGCGGCCCCCUGGACAAAGACUGACGCUCAGGUGCGAAAGCGUGGGGAGCAAACAGGAUUAGAUACCCUGGUAGUCCACGCUGUAAACGAUGUCGAUUUGAAGGUUGUUCCCUUGAGGAGUGGCUUUCGGAGCUAACGCGUUAAAUCGACCGCCUGGGGAGUACGGCCGCAAGGUUAAAACUCAAAUGAAUUGACGGGGGCCCGCACAAGCGGUGGAGCAUGUGGUUUAAUUCGAUGCAACGCGAAGAACCUUACCUACUCUUGACAUCCAGAGAACUUAGCAGAGAUGCUUUGGUGCCUUCGGGAACUCUGAGACAGGUGCUGCAUGGCUGUCGUCAGCUCGUGUUGUGAAAUGUUGGGUUAAGUCCCGCAACGAGCGCAACCCUUAUCCUUUGUUGCCAGCGAUUCGGUCGGGAACUCAAAGGAGACUGCCGGUGAUAAACCGGAGGAAGGUGGGGAUGACGUCAAGUCAUCAUGCCCCUUACGACUAGGGCUACACACGUGCUACAAUGGCGUAUACAAAGAGAAGCGACCUCGCGAGAGCAAGCGGAACUCAUAAAGUACGUCGUAGUCCGGAUUGGAGUCUGCAACUCGACUCCAUGAAGUCGGAAUCGCUAGUAAUCGUAGAUCAGAAUGCUACGGUGAAUACGUUCCCGGGCCUUGUACACACCGCCCG
rnacentral:rRNA from 1 species